GAUGCAGAAAAUGAAGUUAAUAUGGAGAGUUUCUGUAUUUUAGAGUUUCUUGCUUUAGAGUUUCUUUAUUUCCAUUCUUAUACUGUGAUCAAAGUUAAGGGGUCAUCAGUUUAAAAUAAGCUGUUGUAAUUAUAACGUGUUACUUGCCUUGAAGUAGUCUUAUUUGAGUUAAAUCUUUGGUGAUCUCCGACACUCCUUCACUUGGAUAUCUAUGUAUUUAUUCUAGGCUUGGAAAGUUUUCUGUUAUUAUUUCUUUCAAUAAUCUUUCUACCCUUUAUUCCUUCUCAACUCCCUUUUGAAGGUCAAUGACUCUUAGAUUUGUACUUUUGAGGCUGUUUUCUAGAUUUUAUGUUUUUCAUUUUUUGUUCUUUUCCUGUUUUCUUCCCUGACUUUUUUUUUUUUAAUUUAUAAAGAAAAGAGGUUUAAUUGACUGCCAGUUCCACAUGGCUGGGGAGACCUCAGGAAACUUACAAUCAUGGCAGGAGGCAAAAGGGAAGCAAGGCACAUCUUACAUGGCAGCAGGCAAGAGAGAGGAGAGGAACUGCCAAACACUUUUAAAUCAUCAGAACUCAUGAGAACUCACUAUCACAAGAACAGCAUGAGUGAAACCACCCCUAUGAUCCAAUCACUUCCCACCAGGUCCCUCCCUCAACAUGUGGGGAUUACAGUUCGAGAUGAAAUUUGGGUGGUGACACAGAGCCAAACCAUAUCACAUGUGGUGUUUAACUUUCUGUUCAUAGUUUAUUUCACUUAAUGUCCUCCAGUUCCAUCCACAUUGUGAAUGACAGGAUUCCAUUCCUUUGUUGUUGUUGUUGUUGUGAGACAGGAUAUUUGCUUAGUUACCCAUGCUGGAGUGCAGUGGCUCGAUCAUAACUCACUGUGGCCUUGAUCUUCCAAGCCCAAGUGAUUCUCCUGCCUAAGCCUCCUGAGUAGCUGUGACUACAGGUGUGCAUCUCCAUGUCUGGCUACCUUUUGUAUUUUUUGUAGAGAUGGGUUUUUGCCACGUUGCCCCAGUUGUUCUUGAACUCCUGAGCUCAAGUGAUCCUCCGCUCUCAGUCUCCCAAAGUGCUGGGAUUACAGGCAUGAGCCACUGCACCUGGCCAUAGAAUUUCAUUCUUUUUUUUUUCUCUGACUUUUUGAUAUUUCUAAAUAGCUGUCUUUGAGCUCACUGAUGUUUUUUCUUCUGCUUGAUCAAUUUUGCUGUUGAGAACCUCAAAUGCAUCUUCAGCUCCAGGACUUCCAUUUGAUUUUUUUCAACCUCUUUGUCAAGUUUCUCUGAUAAAAUUUUGAAUUCCUUCUCUGUAUUUUCCUAAAGUCGGUUGAGUUCCUCAAAGCAGUAAUUUUGAAUUAUCUGUCUGAGAGGUCACACAUAUCCCUCUAUUUAAAGUUAGUCACUGGCACCUUAUUUAGUUUGUUUCAUGAAGUCAUAAUGCCUUUCAUAUUCUUGAUGCUUGUGAACAUUCAUCAAUGUCUGUGCAUCAAGGCAUUAGGUAUUUACUCUAGUCUUUGCCCUCAGACCUUGUUUGCUUUAUCAAGCAUAACAUCAAUGAAAAACUUGUAUCCAGAAAGAUAUACAGAAAGAACUCCUAAAACUCAGCAGUAAUAUAGGCAUUGUGAAAACACUGAUAUUCUGUUGAAAUGUGACCUCCAAUGUUGCAGGUAGGCCUAAUGCGAGAUGUUUGGGUCAUAGACAUGGAUCCUUCACGAAUGACUUGGUGUUGUCUUCACAGGAAUAAGGAAUCCUGACUUAAGACAUUGGCAUCAUCAAGUCUAAGUAAACAUAUCUUAAUAUGAGAUAUUGAAGCCUGUUCCUCUAUCAGCCAGCUGACUUUUUCAGAAAAAAAGUAUUCCUGACAUUUAUUCUUUUCUUAAAUCCUCUAUCCUCUUGGACCCUGAAGACAUCGUCAGCAUUUGGAUUUUAUUCAUGACAGAUACAUGUCUCUUUAAAAAGUGUGGAUUUAUCUCCUGAAUAUUAGUUUCUCAAUGAUUUAUCCACCACAUUUUCAUAACUUGUGUGAGGGAUCAGUACCACCUUCCAGCGGUAGAUCUUAUUUUUGCCGCUCAAUUUUUGCUCUGUUCUCUUUCUAGUAAGGGCUUUAUCCUGAAUCAUUUAUUGACAUGCGGCCUAUAGAGACCUCCUUAAAGAGGUACUACAUUAUUGUCCCAUUGAUUUAGGGCCUGGCCACAUUUCAAGCUUUAGCCAAUGGAAUGUGAGGGAAUAUAGCGUAUAGAAACAUCUGAGAAGAAAAAGAAAAACUUCAGAAGGCAUCAAGUGUUUCUGACAGGUCUGUCUUGCUAGAUGUCCCAAAUAAGGACCACUUCUUGAAGAGGCUGGAAUCUGGUGUGAGAAGACAAGGGGAACAGAGCCACAGAAGUUGAUCCACAGCCAUGGAUAUCUGUCUGGAACAAUAAAUCAAUGUCAGUUGUAGCCACUGUCAUUUGGGGGGUUGUUUGUUAUUAAUAAAGCCAACUAAUAAAAUUCAUAACUAGAUUAGAAAACAAUCAAGAUGAAACAUUUUAACAAAAAAUUUGAAUUGCAAAUUUGAAUGCAUCUUAAAUGACGUCGAGUAAAAAAGUUUGCCGCUUGAACAGAAAUAAAAAUUUUAAAUUUAUUAAAAUUCACAUUAAUAAAAAAUAAGAAUACUCUGCA
rnacentral:lncRNA from 1 species